GCAAGUCGAGCGGACCUCUUCGGAGGUUCAGCGGCGGACGGGUGAGUAACACGUGGGCAACCUGCCUGUAAGACUGGGAUAACUCCGGGAAACCGGAGCUAAUACCGGAUACUAUGUCAAACCGCAUGGUUUGACAUUCAAAGACGGUUUCGGCUGUCACUUACAGAUGGGCCCGCGGCGCAUUAGCUAGUUGGUGAGGUAACGGCUCACCAAGGCGACGAUGCGUAGCCGACCUGAGAGGGUGAUCGGCCACACUGGGACUGAGACACGGCCCAGACUCCUACGGGAGGCAGCAGUAGGGAAUCUUCCGCAAUGGACGAAAGUCUGACGGAGCAACGCCGCGUGAGUGAUGAAGGUUUUCGGAUCGUAAAACUCUGUUGUCAGGGAAGAACAAGUGCCGGAGUAACUGCCGGCGCCUUGACGGUACCUGACCAGAAAGCCACGGCUAACUACGUGCCAGCAGCCGCGGUAAUACGUAGGUGGCAAGCGUUGUCCGGAAUUAUUGGGCGUAAAGCGCGCGCAGGCGGUUUCUUAAGUCUGAUGUGAAAGCCCCCGGCUCAACCGGGGAGGGUCAUUGGAAAACUGGGAAACUUGAGUGCAGAAGAGGAGAGUGGAAUUUCCACG
rnacentral:rRNA from 2 species